rnacentral:rRNA from 1 species
GAUGAACGCUGGCGGCGUGCCUAAUACAUGCAAGUCGAGCGAACAGACGAGGAGCUUGCUCCUCUGACGUUAGCGGCGGACGGGUGAGUAACACGUGGAUAACCUACCUAUAAGACUGGGAUAACUUCGGGAAACCGGAGCUAAUACCGGAUAAUAUAUUGAACCGCAUGGUUCAAUAGUUAAAGACGGUUUUGCUGUCACUUAUAGAUUGAUCCGCGCCGCAUUAGCUAGUUGGUAAGGUAACGGCUUACCAAGGCAACGAUGCGUAGCCGACCUGAGAGGGUGAUCGGCCACACUGGAACUGAGACACGGUCCAGACUCCUACGGGAGGCAGCAGUAGGGAAUCUUACGCAAUGGGCGAAAGCCUGACGGAGCAACGCCGCGUGAGUGAUGAAGGUCUUCGGAUCGUAAAACUCUGUUAUUAGGGAAGAACAAAUGUGUAAGUAACUAUGCACGUCUUGACGGUACCUAAUCAGAAAGCCACGGCUAACUACGUG